CCGGUUCACAAUUGCAUACGUUUGGAGUCGUCGUAAAAACACCCUUAAGAACGAUGUAAAAUUGCAAAUAUGUCAGGAUUUACAUCGAUCUUGGGGUGAAAAACAACUUCGGUUUUUUCGAAGUAAAACUUUACGCCCUUCCUUCAUCGAGGGAAAUAGGCGAGGAGUUUACCCUCGUCCACCACCAGCACGAUGCAGUCGAGUAAUGGCGACUUCCGAGUCAAGUUUACCCUCAUCUGAGCGUCUGUUUGAGUGUUCGAGGCUCUAGAUAUUUUCCCAUUCAAGUCGUUGGCGACUUCUACAUUCGAUCUGAGUGUUUGUGUAUCUAAAUCUGCAUCAAUAGCCAAGGAAUAGACGCUGAUGCUGAUCUGCGUCGAUUUGAGUUUACCCUCUCCAGUCCACUCAUUCUACUAUUCUAGUGCUGAUCUGCAACUAUCUCUCUCCGACAGGCGACAGCUUUCUCUCUGACAUUUUUCUCUCCUGUGGCUUUCUCUUUCCAAUGGCUAUCUCUCUUCUGCGAACUGUGUUCAAUCAUCCAAAGACACAAAAUCAUUGUAAUAGCUUUGGAGGCUCAGUGUCAGUACACGUGGAUGGGACCCCACUAGUUGAAUGGUGUAGAUGAAGUCAUUUGCCAGCCAAUGACUUCAGCUUCAGCUUCAAAAGUACUGGUGACGUCUGUACACCAGCACUUCAGCAAGACAACUGGACACUGGUGUCAUGGGCUCAUGGCCCACUUUUGAAUGAAUUCAACAUCGACAGUCUGUUGGAUUUUUGAGAGACGUCACCAGCACUUUUGAGUGUACACAAGUGUUCUGACAGACCAGCACUUUUGAAGGGAACUGUAAUUUUUUGUAAAAAAAUGAGAUGUUAAUUUGCAUCCUUAUAAAAUAUCCAAACAAUCACAAAUUAACACUCUUGUUUUGCGCCAAUAGUUGCCAAACAAGAAGAGUGUAAAUUAAAGGUAAAAUUCGGUCCACAAUUGCAUGCA